GACGUAGAGCGCGAGCGUUGUCCGGAUUUAUUGGGCGUAAAGAGCGUGUAGGCGGCCUGACAGGUCUGCUGUGAAAACUCGAGGCUCAACCUCGAGAUGUCGGCGGAAACCGUCUGGCUAGAGUCCGGAAGAGGAGAGUGGAAUUCCUGGUGUAGCGGUGAAAUGCGCAGAUAUCAGGAAGAACACCUAUGGCGAAGGCAGCUCUCUGGGACGGUACUGACGCUGAGACGCGAAAGCGUGGGGAGCGAACAGG
rnacentral:rRNA from 1 species